GGCUGGUCCGAUGGCAGUGGGUUAUCAGAACUUAUUAACAUUAGUGUCACGAAAGUUGGUAUACCACCCCCCCCCCACUGCUAAAUUUGACUGGCUUUAA
rnacentral:Y_RNA from 1 species